rnacentral:misc_RNA from 1 species
AAGGAGCACGAGCUCAACAAGCAUCCGCCACCAGGGUGGAAGCGAUAGAGCUGCUCGUUAGCAUGUGGAGCACUGACUAUUCAGCCGGACAGCUGUUGUCCCGCCGCAAGUACAACCCGCAAGGGAGUGGGAACGGGGCGCAGGAGAGCAGAGGACUGGUUGAGCACGCUGUUGGGUCCUGAGGAAACGGGCGACCGAUUUCUUCGGAACCACCGCGGGUCAGACCGCAGCCCCCUGUAGUGGGGGCUUACGUCUGGGGCCGUCUGUUUUUUGAGAACUGCACAGUGGACGCGAGCAUCUUAAAGCAAUUUAAGUGCCUGAAAUAUCUGAAUUUUCAGAGUUUCUAUGGUUCACAGUCUUGUCUUGGUUUUGGCCAUCGUUUUGU